ensembl:lincRNA 4932422M17Rik RIKEN cDNA 4932422M17 gene
CCCCGAGACCCGUCACCAGGAUCGCGGGCGCCGUGCCUGGCAGGCUGUUAGGGCCCGGGGCUGCCUCUCGGCUCCCAGCGACAACCAGGGAAAAGCAGGAUGGCGGAAGGAAGGAGGAAAGCCGGCCGCCAUUAGCCAGAGAGCAGUAUUGAAUGGCCCGGCGGCUUCAGCCUUGGCUCCAACCCGACCCAGCCCUCGGCUCGGCUCAAAAACCUGAAAAUAAAACUCGUGUUUGAGAGGGAGGAGCGAGCGCGGCCCGGAGGACAAGCAGCGCCAGGCUGCAGGCGGGAGAGAGAUGCUGCGUCAUGAUGCCAACAUGGACGCCGGCCUUUUGUCCUUUUUCUCUUUGGAAGAGCAGGCGAGCCCCGGAGCCCCGAAAAGCUGGCUUCCGGGGGACAGAAACCCCCACAAUCAAUCAGGAACGAGACUUUAAGAUGGGUGGGAAGGUUUCCUCGCUUUUUUCAGCCCCUCCAUCUCCAAAACACUUCGAUUUCUUCUCUGCCACUAAGGUGCAAACCUGAGGCGAGCCAAAGGGACUAGCGCAGGCGGCUCCAUGGAUGCCCCAGGGUACUGGGGACAGGCUCUCUUCGCCUUUGGGUGCAAAAGAGGCAGAGGGGUCUGGAGAGCCCUAGUCCCCUCACCCACCCACUGCAAUCGGCUGCCAAGCUCAAGCUCAAGAAAUCCCAGCUCCCAAUCAUCUGCAGCCCAUGGCCUGCUCAAUCGAGAGUUCCUCGAAGGGGGAAAAAGACACUUGAAAACAAAUUUUUUUAGUCUAGUUUUUUACUUACCCACUCAGCCCGGCGCCAUGGCGUCUAGAAGAAAAAGCUGGCCGGCGCUUUUGGAGAUAUUAUAAAAAUAACAGGUCUUUUUUUGGGGGGUGGGGGAUGUUUGGUUGUUUAGUUGGGGGGAAACCUGGGGUUCUGGUGUCCCUUUGUUACCUUCUUUGUAAGUUACACUCGUGGUAUUUCUGCUCCUUCCACGACUGCAAACUUUCCAGGGUUGGGCUGGCAAAAAGGCGGCUUCGCUGAGGGCUGUUUAGUGCUCUGGAUUUACCAAUGGUGUGAUCGUCAUUAAGAAACAAAAGGCGAAAACACAAGUCAAAUCAAAACAAAAGGCAAAACCAGCCAUCCCAACCGCCACAGAAAAUACCACCGACUCAACGUAGGUGUUUGGCUUGAACCGGCUAAGGGCUUGUUUUCCAGUUUUAAUCUAGUUUUCAGAGGCGGCUUUCAGUCUUUUUUUAUACAAAAGGUCUUCCUUUCUCUUACCCUCCACCACCCCACACCCAGUUCGAGAAAAACAGCUGUUUUUCUUCAAAUAGAUCGAUUUUCAAAGAGUGUACGAGCUACUGGGAAGAAAUCUGAAUAGCAACUAUGGCUGUAAACAUUUUUUUUUUUCCAAAAAGCUCGAAGCUAAAAAAUCGUAGCUUUAUAGAAGCAAAAACGUCUAAAAGCAUUUUAACUGACUUACAUCAGACAAAGACAAAGACAUACAUGCAGAUGAAGCUUCCGAAAAUUCAGGACAUCUCAGGCGACAGUAACACGAGAACGGCAGUGCAGUUAAGGACAGAAUGGAUUGGGUACUUACAAUGUAAAAGGUUUUUAGAAAAUUUAACAGUAACAACAGCUCACAGUUUUUUUGUUAUUGUUGCCGUUUCGCUACAACUAUACAUUUAAAACAUUACCUUGUUAAAAAAUAGAAUUAAUAAGAUGGUCAGGCUUAAGUGUUUAAUAGAGGAAACUAUAUUUAAAAAUUUAUUGUUCAGUCAAGAGAAUACAGAUUAAGACAGCUCCAAGCUCUCCCACCCNNNNNNNNNNNNNNNNNNNNNNNNNNNNNCCCGAGAAAAAAAAAAAGGAAAAAAAUUAAAUAUGUCAUUUACUUAGGUUUUUUUGAAUUCAAAACUGUUAACUGCUGACAUUAAUAGUGUGCUAUGACCUAGUUAUACAAGACAAAGAUGGAUUCCAAGUCAUAAGGAAAAAUCCAGAUCUUUUUAAAAGGUCUUCAUUCUUCCAAGUGUGAGUCCUUUGGCAAAUGUUAAACACAUUCAGGCGUCCUGAACUGGAUGGUGGAGUCAAAGGAAAAGCAUUCCCCAUUUGCAACAAAGGAAAAACCCACUUGGCCAUUUAAUUCCAUUGCAGAAAAAUGGCUCCCUCAUCUGUUGGCCUCUCCUUGGAGUCUGAUGAAGGAUGUUUUGAGAUCAGCGUCUAAUAACUCAAGCCCUAUAGAAGCCGCGCGCUGAUUGGCUGCCGCACCCUGCCGCCCUGCUCCAGCCAAUUACCUACCCACGGCCAAAUUACAAACCCCGAAAAGAGCCCCAAUAUGAAAUACACCACCACGAAGCCCCGGCGAGGCGGCUGCUUCGCCUCGGCAGCCCGAGAAGAGAGACCGAGGGCGUCUGCAACCAGAUCCACGCGAAAAGCCGGGGAAGCCUACGAGUUGAACUCACAAAAUGGAAGCCGAGCGCUGAUUGGCCGCCGCCACUCCCGGACCUUUAAUAAAGAAAGGGGAAGGAAAAUGAUAAAUGCAAAAAAGGGGACUCUCUGUCGCUGGUGGCUGGAGGAAGGAGGGAGGGAGAAGCAUGUGUUCAAGACAAUUACUGGGCGCUCCCCUCCAAAAAUAAAAACAGAAAGGCAAAAAAUAAAAACGAAAAAAUAAAGAGAAA